rnacentral:rRNA from 1 species
AUAUCAAUAAGCGGAGGAAAAGAAACCAACAGGGAUUGCCUUAGUAACGGCGAGUGAAGCGGCAAGAGCUCAAAUUUGAAAUCUCCUAGCAAGGAGAGUUGUAAUUUGCAGGUUGUAAUCUGAGUAGGCAGCACAAGUCUCCUGGAACGGAGCGCCUUAGAGGGUGAGAGCCCCGUAAGCUGUGACUCGUUGUAGAUUGCUUCCAAAGAGUCGAGUUGUUUGGGAAUGCAGCUCUAAGCGGGAGGUAAAUUCCUUCUAAAGCUAAAUAUUGGCGAGAGACCGAUAGCGAACAAGUACAGUGAUGGAAAGAUGAAAAGAACUUUGAAAAGAGAGUGAAAAAGUACGUGAAAUUGUUAAAAGGGAAGGGUACUGCAUGAGACUUGGGUAGAGUGUUCAGCUAGUUUUCGGACUUGUGUAUUCAUGCUGCCUGGGCCAGGGAGAGGUGAGAGGGAGUGAAAAAGUGGUGAGAAGGUAGCUCUUCGGAGUGUUAUAGGUCAUCAUAAUAACUCCUCUGUCGCCUCAGGACUGCGAAUUUUCAAGGUCUCUGGCGUAAUCAUUCAGUACCGC